rnacentral:lncRNA from 1 species
CACGCCUGCAAUCCUCUAGCACUUUGGGAGGCCGAGGCGGGCGGAUUGCCUGAACUCAAGAGUUCGAGUCCAGCCUGGCCAACAUAGCGAAACUCCGUCUCUGCUAAAAAUACAAAAAAUUAGCCGGCGUGGUGGCGCCUGUAGUCUCAGCUACUCGGGAGGCUGAGGCAAGAGAAUCGCUUGAACCCGGGAGGCCGAGAUCGCGCCAUUGCACUCCAGCCUGGGCAACAAAAGCAAAAACGCCGUCUCAAAUAAAUAAAUGAAAUAAACUUAGUAAACUAUUUUUAAAUAAUGUUAAAAUUAACGGUGUACGUAGUAGAACUGUGAGAGAUCUCAUCUUGGAAAUAGAGUGAUAUACUUGAAGGCAAGAGAUUGGGUCAGGUACUAUUAACACGUUUUACACAUGAACAAACCGACACUAAGAGGUAAGGUAAUUUGCUUAUGAUUGAGUUCCCAAGUACAAAGCUGAUUUUUGAACUAAAAUCUGACUCGAAAAUCUGCUCUUUUCUUAUCAGGCUGCUUCCUACAAAAAUAUAACCUCGCUUAGCAUCUGCUUGUUAAGCAUCCACCCUCACAGCUCUUUGGCAUUCAAAUGUUUGUUGAGUAGGGGUAAUAGAGCACUACGUUCGAAUCAGAAAAUGCCUUAUUUUUCCUUGCUUGCAAGAGCCUAUUAUAAAUAAAUGCCUUGUUUUCGCUGUGUCUCUUUCUUGUUGUCGAGAGCUCAGGCUGGUCUUAAUUUCUGCAACCAUAGUAUUAUCUCCCAGGUCUCCUUCUGCCCUGUGUAUUUUGCAGUUAUGCUUUAUGUGGAGAUGAAGCAUCCUAAGUGUGGAGAACGAUAUAUGGGGCCCGAACAAUAGGUGCUGAAGCCAGAUUGUGUGACUAAAGUUGGUAUUUGAACAAACCAAGUGUUUAUUUUUUUAAAGAGCAUGGUAAAAACUAAGUUUCAAAAAUCGAUGCUGGCAAAAAUUUCCUUGAAAAAAUUCUCACCAAGUUCACUUGCACGGUACUACCUGGGGAAUGAAACACAUUUGUCAAGGACACGCCCAAAACUAUGUUGCUGUUGUAAUUUUCAAAGACUGGGAACUGCGGCAGGGGGAGUUACAAUUAAAGCAAACAUCGGCGUAUCAGUUUAUUCAUUCAGCAAACGUUUAUGAAGCAACAAACGUAUGCCCAAUAUUUCAGUCUUGCUGCUCUUCCUCCCCAAAUUCAGGAACCUUUGCAACGGAAAGCGGCCUCGGGCAGGCGCCUUUUGAGCAGAGGAGUAAAACCGGUAAGUCAGCAGUGGAACCCGCCUCCCCGGAAAUCCUUGGAGGGGGCGGGGCCCUGGGGAGCGCGCUCUUCCCAGCGGCAGCUGGGGAGGCGCAUGCGUACUUGCGUCAUCGUUGGGUAGCAGCGGGGAGGCGUGGGAGGAUCUGAGGCCUGCGGUGGGCCUUGGUCCCUUCUCUCCCCGCCCCGAAGCCGCCUGCUCAACCUGAGGGCCACCGGCCUCUAUCCGUCGGUGCCGAUGCUCCUUGCUUCCCAGCCAGAGCGUCUCAUCUCUGGGCCCGGAGCCCCAGGCUCGUUCUCCUCAGCCCCUGCCGGCGGCGGCGCUCUUGCAGCCAUUCCUGUGAGGUCGUUUUUCGGAGCAGCCGGGCCGGCCGAGGAGUAAGUAGGCGCCAGAGUUCUAGCUCGGGCAUCUGCCUCGGGGCCCUGUCGCCGCCGCGCCCCGGAUCCUGCGUUGGUCCUGUCCGAUAAAGCGGAGGUCGGCCCUGCUUGCUGACGAGACCGUAAAAACCACGGCGCUUGGCGCCCUGCCGCCGCCACACCACACCAAAGUGUACCUGCCCGAGGCUGGCUUCGGGCGCGAGCUUGCAUUUGUGACUUUCUCUUACCGUCUUUGUUUGCUUCGUUUUAAGUAUUACUUCCAGAUAAGGGACACAUUCUCGAAAUACUUUGAAAACAGUUUUGAAUUUUGUUCCUCCCGUUGAAACGGAUUAAAUUUGGACCUUUCAAGCUACACUGUGCAAUCAUCAAUCUCAAUAAGCUCUUAAUAGGCUCAUUCUUCCGUAGGCUACAAACAAAAUAAAGAUCAUAACAUCCUGCGGAGGAAGCCAUUGGUCCAUGUAGAGUCGCCAGAUGUCAAUUAAGAGUAGAUCGCUUUUCAGAGAAUACUUAACGACUCUGGUUUAGACCUAGACUUGGAACUUUGAGGUGUUUGGAACACUGGGCAGAAUUUUCCUUUGUUACAAAACAAAGUUUAUGAGAACGUAAUUUGUUUUUGUUGUUUUUGUUGUUAGUAUUGAAGCAAUUUUGGUGCAAACCAAAGGAUAACAAAGCAAAACAAUGAAAAUCACCCAGAGUUCCAUUACCCACACUGAACCAACUUGAAUAUAUUGGUUUAUUUUGGCUUUUUUCCAUAUGAAAUGUUAAAUUUUCUUGUACUCACGUGUAGAAUAUGAUAGUUUGCUCUUUCAUGUAACAUGUCUCCCAAUUUUUACAUACAUAAUUCUAGUUUCAGUAAGCAUUUUUAUAACUACACUCUUUUUCCUUUGUUAUUGUAUGUCUAGGUUAUUUCAACUUUGCACUGUUGCUUGUAACUACUAUGUGAUGAGGCAGUAGCUAGAUUAGUAUUUAGAACGUGAGCAUUCAAGUCAGGCAGACCUGGGCUUCACAACUUACUGUGCAAUUUCAAAGAGUUUAACUUUUUUGAGCCUCAUUUUACACAGUAACAUGGGGAUAAUGGUUCUGAUUGCAUAGAAUUAUUAUGAGAGUAAGAUGAAAUAAUGAGUGGAAGUGCCUGCAGCAUGUAUUGUUAGUAAAUGCUGUAUUACUGCAGGCAAAUUUUUCUUUUGUUGUGGUUUUUUGGUGACAUGUAUGAUUUAUUUCCAGAUUUUGAAUAUACUUAAAUACUAUUAACCACAGUAGGGGUAUGGGGUUUGAUCCACAGCUUUUCAUAUAUUUUAUACAAUAUAUUGUGUGUUUGAUACACAGCUUUUCAUAUACUUUAUUAUAAGUAACACAUGAAUUAGAAAUAAUUUUUCACAAUAGGAAAAACUUUUUAAAAAUUAAAAUUUAUAAUCCUGCUAACCGUAGGUGAAUAGUCACAUUUUGGGCAAUCCUUUUUUAUGCAUAUAUAUGUAGUGGUUUUAUUUUAUUUUAUUUUAUUUUUAUUUUUUGAAACGGAGUCUUGCUCUGUUGCUCAGGCUAGGGUGCAAUGGUGCGACCUCGGCUCACUGCAACCUCCGCCUCACGGGUUCAAGCAAUUCUCCUGCCUCAGCCUCCCGAGUAGCUGGGAUUACAGGCGCCCGCCGCUGCGCCCGGCUAAUUUUUAUAUUUUUAGUAGAGACGGGGUUUCACCAUCUUGGCCAGGCUGGUCUCGAACUCCUGACCUCGUGAUCCACUCGCCUCAGCCUCCCAAAGUGCUGGGAUUACAGGCAUGAGCCACCGUGCUGGGCCUGUAGUGUUUUCUAAAAAUAGAAUUAUAUUAUAAAUUGGGUUUAUCAACUUGCUGAAAAUGGCAGAGGCCAGUGCGAUGAGAGUAGGGUGAUUAAGGGAGUAGGAAGUAAUGCAGGAAAGGGAGUUUGUAGGAUUUAGAUUUCACUGAAAGUGUACUGGACAGGUUGGGCAUAGUGGCUCAGGCCUGUAAUUGUGUCACUUUGGGAGGCUGAAGUGGAAAGAUCCCUUAAGCCCAGGAGUUCGAGCCAGCCUGGGCAACAUAGGGAAACCCUAUCUCUAUAAAAUAAAAAUAAAAAUAAUUAUUUUGAAAAAAAAGUUUACUGGACAGAGUAAGUUCAGGGUUGAGGAGUGACCUGAUUUGUUUUAGAAGGCUCAUUUGGCUGCCAUAUGGAGAUAGACUGCAAGGGACCAGGGGAGGAAGAUGCAAUCCAAUUAGGAGAGUAUUUAAGUAAUCUCUGUGAGAGAUGGUGUUAGUUUCGAUCAGGGUGUAAGUAGGGAAAAAUGAUUGGGUUCUGGAUAUAUUUUGAAGGGAGAAGUUAUAGGAUUCACUGAUUGAUGGGAUGUGGAAUUCAAGAGAAAGUGACUUAAAGAAUUUUGGUUUGGGCAGUUAAACAGAUACAGUUGCUACUUACCAAGAUAGAGACUGAAAGUUGGGGGAAACUAAAUAGAGUUCUGUUUCAGUCAUGUUACCUGUUGUGGAGUCUAACUAGUUGGAACAGGAGUAUGAAAGACUUAAUCUUCUGUUCUUGAGGUAUCAAUUUGUCCCUUCAUUUCUGUCAGUUUUUGCUACAUAUAUUCUGUUACUAGGUGCAUCUAUCCUUGUAAAUUGUUACAUCUUCCUUGUGGGUUUAUCCUUUUAUCAUUAAAAAUGUUUCUCUUUUUCUCUAGUAACAUUGUUUUAAAGUCUAUUUUGUCUGAUAUUAAUGUAGCUAUUUCAGUUCUCACGUGAUUACUAUUUACAUGCUUUGUAUCAUUGACUCUAAAAUGUGUCUCCUGUAGACAUAUAGUUGGAUCUUGGUUUGUUUUUUGUUUGUUUGUUUGUUUUUUGUUUUGAGACAGAGUCUUGCCCUGCCUCCUUGGCUGGAGUACAAUGGCGUGAUCUGGGCUCACUGCAACCUCCACCUCCCGGGUUCAGACGAUUCUCCCACCUCAGCCUCCCCAGUAACUGGGAUUACAGGGGCCCGCCACCACGCCCAGCUAAUUUUUGUAUUUUUAGUAGAGACGGGGUUUCACCAUGUUGGCCAGGCUGGUCUCAAACUCCUGACCUUGUGAUCCACCUGCCUCGGCCUCCCAAAGUGCUGGGACUACAGGCAUGAGCCACUGUGCCUGGCCGGAUCUUGUUUUUUUUAAUCUGAUAAUUUCUGCCUUUUGAUCCAAUUGUUUAAUCAUUCACAUUUAAUGUUAUUGAUAUAGUUGGAUUUAUGUAUGCCAUCUUAUUUUUGUUUUCCUUAUGUCUUGUCUUUUUCUUUUCCUGUCUCUCCUUUACUGCUUUGUUUUGGAUCAAGUGAAUAUCUUCUAAUGUAGCAUUUUAAUUUCUUGAAUGAUUUUUUACACUGUUUUAAGUUUUUUUUAGAGACUGUAGUGGUGCUCUAGGGCUUACCGUACAAUUAGCUUAACUUAUUAGAAUCAGCUUCAGAUUUAUACUAACUCAAUUGCAGUGAGAUAUAGAAACCUUACUCCAAUAUAGUUUUAUUCCAUGUCCCUGUUUUUUUGUGGUUUUGUUGUUGUACAUGUUAUAGUUGUUACAAACUCAACAAUACAUUACUACAAUUAUUACUUUUACAUCAUUUAAAGAAAAUGAACAAAGGAAAGCAAAUAUAUAUUUGUAGCUUUUGUUAUAGUAACCUUAUUUAUCAUUUCAGGUUGUUUGUUUAUUUUUCUUGUGGAUUCAUUACCAUCUGGAGUAAUUUUGUUUUCUUUUUCUUUCUUUUUUUUUUUUUUGGAGGGAUAACAGGGUCUUGCUCUGUUGCCCAGGCUGCUGGAGUGCAGUGUCAUGAAUAUAUCUCACUGUAGCGUCAAACUCCUGGACUCAAAGUGAUCCUUCCACCUCAACCUCCUGAGUAGCUGGGACUACAGGCACAUGCCACCAGGCAUGGCUAAUAUUUGUAUUUUCUGCACCUCAGCCUUCUGAGUAACUAUAUUACUCUAUAAGCACACAUCACCACACCCAGCUAAUUUUUAAAUUUUUUAUAGAGACAGAGUCUCACUGUGUUGCUCAGGCUGGUCUCUAACUCCUGGCCUCAAGUGAUCCUCCAGCUCUGGCCUCCCAAAAGUGCUGGGAUUACAGGCAUGAGUUCUUUGUAUGAGUUCCUUGUAUAUUUUGGAUAUUAACCCCUUGUUAGAUAAAAGGUUUUUCAGUAUUUUCUCCCAUUCCGUGGACUGCCUUUUCAUUUUGUUGUUUCCUUUGCUGUGCAGAAGCUUUUUUGUUUGGUUUAGUUCCAUUUGCUUAUUUUUGCUUUUGUUGCCUGUGCUUUUGGUGUCAUUUACAAAACAAACAAACAAAAUUAUUGCCAAGACUAAUGUCAUGGAGCUUUUCCACUGUUUUCUUCUAGUUUUACAGUUUCAUGUCUUACACUUAAGUCUUUUCACUUUUUUUUUUUUUUGAGACAGAGUCUCCCUCUGUUGCCCAGGCUGGAGUGCAGUGGUGUAUGAUCUUGACUCACUGCAACCUCCACCUCCUGGGUUCAAGUGAUUCUCCUGCCUCAGCCUCCCGAGUAGGUGGGAUUAUAGGCAUGUGCCACUGUGCCCGGUUUAUUUUUGUAUUUUUAAUAGAAAUGGGGUUUCACCAGGCUGGUCUUGAACUCCUGACCUCAAGUGAUCCACCCGCCUCAGCCUCUCAAGGGACUAGGAUUACAGGCAAGAGCCACUGCGCCUGGCCUCUUUUAACCAUUUUGAAUUGACUUUUGUGGAUGGGGUAAGAUAAGGGUCCAAUUUCAUUUCUUGGCAUGUGGUUAUCUAGCUUUUUCAACACCAUUUAUUAAAGAGACUAUCCUUUCUUUAUUGUGUACUUUUGACACCUUUGUUGAUGAUUAGUUGGCCACAUAAACGAGGAUUUAUUUCUGGGAUUCCUAUUCUGUUCCAUUGGUCUAUAUGUCUCCUUUUAUGCCAGUACCAUACAGUUUUGAUUACUGUAGGUCUGUAAUAUAAUUUGAAAUGAAGUGUGAUGCCACCAGCUUUGUUCUUCUUGCUCAGGAUCAUUUUAGAUAUUCUGGGUCUUUUGGGUUCUGUAUGGAUGUUAGGAAUUUUUUUUUUUUUUCUGUGAAAAAUGUCAUUGGAGUUUUGCUAGAGAUUGCGUUGAAUCUGUAGACUACUUUGUGUAUUGCAGACAUUUUGACAAUAAUGAUUCUUCUGAUCCUGAACAUGGGAUAGCUUUCCAUUUAUUUGUGUCAUCUCCAGUUCUUUCAUAUAUGUAUUAUAGCUUUUAGCAUACACAUCUUUCCCCUCCUUGGUAAAACUUAUUCCUAAGUAUUUUAUUCCUUUUGAUGCUAUUGUAAAUGGGAUUGCUUUCUUAAUUUCUUUCUUGGAUACUUCACUGUUAGUGAAGUGUAAUUGAUUUUUGUAUGUUGAUUUUGUAUCCUGAAACUUUACUGGAUUCGUUUAUUCAUUCUAACAGUUUUUAGUGGCGUAUUUAGGGUUUUCUGUAUAUAGGAUGAUGUCACCUGCAGAGACAAUUUUACUUCUUCCUUUCUGAUUUGGAUGCCUUUUAUUUCUUUUCCUUGCCUAAUUUCUGUGGCUAGGAUUUCUAGUACUAUGUUGAAUGUAAGUGAUAAGUGUGGGCAUCCUUGUCUGUCCUUGUCACAUUCAGUUGUAUGUGCAAUACUGGAACCAUCCAGCUCAUAGUCACGUAAUUCCUCUUUGUGCAGCCUCAUGUAAAAUCACACCCCUAUUCACAUUUUUUUCUGUCUGUCUCCCACCUCUCCAGGUCCCUGCCCUGCAACUUUCAGUUACUUCAGACUCUCAGAAGACUAGCCUCUAAAUACCUCAAUUUAUCUGCACUACUGUGGUCUACUUGAAAUUCUCUUCCCUCUUCUGCAGUUUGUAAUGGCAUUCAGGCCAAAAACUGUAGUAGUUUUAGGGCUCUCUUCAUUUGCUUCUCUGCUCCUAGGGAUCAUAGUGCUGUGCUAUCUGUUGUCCAGCAUCUGACACAGUUGGUUUUAUAUUUUGUCUGGUUUUCUAGUUAUUAAGCAGGUUAAGUCUGGUUCCUGCUGUUCUAUAUAGCAGGAAGCAAAGGUUCUCUCAUGAAUUUUUAGCAUAAUAACAUAAGCGUGGAUUCCAAAAAUUCAUUACACAGAUCCUGGAAAUCUGUUUACUAUGUUUUAUACAUUCUGUGAAAGCUGGAGAAUAUAUAUUUGUUUUACUAUGUGUAUCGCAAAUAAAAUAUCAAUUUCAUGUGCCAGAGAAUUGAAUACAUUAUCAAAGGGUCAUUUCAUAACGUUAUAAUCACCAUCCAUCCUGUAAGUCCUUUGAAAUUUCUUCUUUUCUAUGGAUCUAACAUUGAUCAAUAACGAAUUCCUAAGCAUCUAUAUUAGUUAGCCCAGUGUUUCUCAAAGUCCACCGCAUGUAAAAAUCAUCUAGGGAAUCUUUCUAAAAUGUGGAUUCUGAUUUAGUAGGUCUGGGGUGAGGUCUUCCCUUUUGCAAUUCCAGCAAGUUCCCAUGGGAUGCUGGUACUGGUUAAUGGAAGUCACUUAGAGUAGCAAGGAGCCUGUUUGCCUAGUAUUUACAAUGAGCACGUUUUGGGUAUCAUCAAAACAAGAGAAUCUAAAAAUGUAUGGUGUGGGUGGAAGGUUGUGUUACUUGAUAUUUCAAAAAGAUCAUUGAAAUCAGAAAAUCUCAGAGAUAUGUUGGAUUUCAUCACAUUUAUUCUAUGGCUUAAUGUUGUUUUAUUUUGAAUAUAUAAUAAGAGAGAUACCACAAAUCUUUAGCUAUUAAUAUUUAGGGAUGUUAAUGUCCUUAAUUCAUAUUGUCUCAAAUGUGAUUCAUUCCCUCUAUAGGUAUACUAAAACAGGCAUUCAUGCCUACAAAACCAUCUUCCUAACUUUCUUUCCUCUUUUUAGUCUCUUCCUGAACCAGUGACAGUGGUUCUCAAACAUUUUGGUCUGAGGACCCCUUUAUGGCCUUAAAAAUGAUCGAAGAGCUUUUAUUUAUGAAGGUAAUACCUGCUAAUACUUGUUGUAAUCUAUUAACAUUGAGAAAUGUAAAAAUUUUUAUUAAUUCACUUAAAAUAUCAAUAAACCCAUUAUUUGCUAAUAUAAAUUGCACUUUUUAAUGAAAAAUAACUUUAGUUUCUACUGUGUGCUUCUGCAUUUUGAAAAUAUGUCUAGGAUACGGUAUGUAUUUAGGAGAUAUUUUCUAAAUAAAUGCAUAUUCAUUUUUUAAAAUGGGACAAAUGUAGCAUAGACAUAUUUUUGCUAACAAUAUCCAUAUAGUUGCAAAUUUCACUUUUAGAAUUUGCUUUCAAAAACAGGUUGUUUAUUCUUCUUUGUUAUGCCUUAGUUAGUAAAUCAUAUAUUAUAAAACUUCUUCAAUGCAAUUGGUCUUUGGUCAGCCAUUGACAUAGGAAGAGUUAGAAAGAGUCCAGGGCUCCUUGGUACUGGCUGUGACUGGAUAAGUAGGUUGUGGCUUAGUUUGUGUUUAGGUGUCAUAACUAGGCUAGGUUUGGGUCCCAGAAAGUGCUAGCCUUACUGUAGGAGAGGAAGUGGUAUUGCUGGGUGUGUCCUCAGGUCAGGAAGUGGGACGAGUGCAGUAUGGAAGCCCAGGGGGGUCCUUGUGACUGGAGGAAAGGUGAGGUUUCCAGUAAAGGAUUCAGAAUUCGGGCAUGGUGCAGCAUGCCUAUAGCCCCAGCUACUCAGGAGGCUGAAGUGGGAGGAUCACUUGAGACCAGGAGUUCAAGGUUGCAGUGAGCUGUCAUUGCGCCACUGCACCCCAGCCUGGGUGACAGAGUGAGACCUGUCUCAAAAAUAAAUACAUAAAAAUAAUAAUUAAAAAAAAAGGAUUCAGAAUUCUAGAAUACAUAUUAUCUUUCUAUCAUGCAGAUCUGUUCUUAGGAUUGUAUUUUCCAAAUCAUGAAUAAAAUAAUUUCCAAAAUACUUAUUGGGAAAUUAUAUAUAUGUACUGUAUUACUUGGAAUAAAAAUCAAAUAAAAGUCAAACUUCUUAAUGUGGCUGUAAAGCCUUGAUUAUUUAAACCUUGCCUAUUUUUCAGUUUAAUCUUUCAGCCACACUGGCCCUUGUGUUAAUCCUAAAACAUGCCAUGCUUUUUCCUACAUUAAAGCUUAGGGUUUUUGAUAUUUCUACUGCCUGGAUUUCUCUGUUCUCACUCUUCCUCUUGAUCACCAUGACUUAUUUUUCAAGUGUUGGCUUAAAUGUCCGUCUCACAGAUAGCCCUUAUCUAAAUAACAGCUUUCCCUCUGGUUCCUAGAUAAAUUAGGACCUGUUUUUUUCUAUAACUUUCUUAAAGUAUCCUAUUAUUUUCCCUGAUAAAACCUUGUUGGACUGUUUGUCAGUAUAUUUAUUUGCCUGUUUGUUUGGUGUCAGUUUCUCUUUUUUUCCUGUGUGUUUUGUUUGUUUGUUUUUUUGAGACGCAGUUUCACUCUGUCACCAGGCUGGAGUGCAAUGGUGCAAUCUCGGCUCACCACAACCUCCACCUCCCAGGUUCAAGCAAUUCUUCUGCCUCAGCCUCCCGAGUAGCUGGGAUUACAGGCAUGUGCCACCAUCCUGGCUAAUUUUGUAUUUUUAGUAGAGACAGGGUUUUUCCAUGUUGGUCAGGCUGGUCGCAAACUCCCGACCUCAGGUGAUCCGCCUGUCUUGGCCUCCCAAGGUGCUGAGAUUACAGGCGUGAACCACCGCACCCGGCCUGUUUGUUUGUUUUCUUAUUAGACUAUAAACUAUAUGAGAUCAGACCAUGUCUCUUUUGUUUAUCACUCUGGCCUACCUGCUAACACAGUGCUUACACAUAAUAGUAGGUGCUCAAGAAAUACAGUGUUUGAUGGAUGAACGUAAAAUUGUAAGAGCCUGAACUAGUGUAAUAUCGAAAAUAGGGAGGAAGACAUGAAUUAGGAAAGCCUUUGAAAAAUUAGCAUGUUCUGUGAUAAAGCUACAUCUAGGCAAUAUUUUUUGAUACUUUUAAAAAAAAAACUGUAAUAGCUACCCAAUAUUUAGGAAUGAUACACAUCACACAUCUCAGUGAGGUAUGUAGCCUUUUGUACUGGUGAAGAGAGCCAGGUGAAGUCUAACUCUAAGGAUCUAAACACUCCAUUCUAGUAGAGAGCCUGGAGAAGUGCUCUUGCAUAAGCUCAUCCAUGUAAGACCAUCCAUAACUUAGUGAAAUAAUUUUCAUUGCUGUUUAGUUGCAAAAAUCACUCACUGUUUUGCCUCCAUAAGAUUAUCGGUUUUAGUGUUUAAUCGUUCACAGCCUUGUCAAAACCAAAAUGGCUAGGGAGAGAACUAUUUCCCUACAUUAAAACUUCGAGCAAUGCUCUUCAUAGAUUUUGUUUUGAAUUGUUUAGGCCCAUCUCAGAGUUCAAGACACUUAGUCUCUUCUAAGAGAAAUCAUGGUCACAACAAACAGAGAUUAAAUAAAGAGCAAGAAAUUAGAAGAAACUCAAACCAUUCACUUAGAUUAUUUGUUAGAUUUUGGCCUUAAAAAGAGACAAAGUUGCUUGAAACAAGUGAUUAAACUGACAUUUUUAGAUUAUUAUUUUAUUCAUACCUUUAUUGUGAAUAAAUUGGCCACAUGAUAACAUUUUAUAAUGUUAAAUAAAUAUGAUAUAUAUAAAUCUGUAUACCACAACAAUUAAAUUGGAGGGCGAUUUGCCAUUUAAAUAAUUUAUCAUAGGAUUUUUAUAAGAUCAAGCGCUUAGUGCAUAUCAAAGAGACAGAAAGUUUUCAUUGCAGUUCUGCACGUUCACUGAGUACCUUUUAUGUACCAGUUGCAUUGUUCUAGAAUCUUAUCUAUCAUGUAAAGCUAGGUACACCUGAAAUAGUUUAGUUAUGGUGGCAAAGUUAGACUGCAGUUAUUGGCUGGGAAUUUUUUGUAUAUCUAUGUACAUCUUCCAUAAGAGGGCAGCAAAGGACCAGCAUGAUUUUUUCCUUAUCAUGAAGUCAUAGCAGAGAUUGCCUCAUAUUGCAAACUUAAUAGAAAUCUUCUCAGAGUAAGGGCAAACAGAGGGCAUGGUUACAAGUUUACUUACUGUCUAGCCUGUCUUUUAUAUGGUCUGAUAUGGCUUUUUAGUACAUAGAUUAUCUCACAUCACAGUGAUAGCCUAGUGAUUAAAUGUUGAUCCUGGGGUCAGUUGUCAGGCUUUAAAUCCUGGAACCAUAACUUAACUAGCUUCGUGGUCUAGAAAGACUACUCAGUCUUUCUGAGCCUCAGUUUCUUCCUCAAUUUUUUAUAAAAAGGAGGGCAAGGGAUAGUAACAAUGCCACUUCACAUGGUUUUAAUAAACAAAAUAAAAUUUGUGUCCUGAAGAGGCUAAGAACAGUUAAAAGGUGGAGCUAGAAAAACCACCCUAUACUAGCCUUAGGUGUAUUGUAUUUAUUUAAGUUAAACUCUUAUUAAAAAGAGUCUCAUAAAGGAAAAUAUAGGUCAUUACUUUCUGUAACUACUUAGUAUUUUUAGUUAACUAACAUAUAUAUCUAUGUACUGACCAAUUAUUUGCUCGUACAAUUUAUCAAACCAAUUAAAUAUACACUGUUAAAUUUAUUUCCCUGUCCCCCGAGACAGAUCCUGGCUACGUUGCCCAGGCUGGAGUGCAGUGGCGCGAUUUUGGCUCACUGCAACCUCUGCCUCCCAGGUUCAGGCAAUUCUCCUGCCUCAGCCUCCUGAGUAGCUGGGAUUACAGAGGCCUGCCACCAUGCCUGGCUAAUUUUUGUAUUUUUAGUAGAGAUGGGAUUUCACCAUGUUGGCCAGGGUGGUCUCAAACUCCUGACCUCAGGUGAUCCAGCCGCCUCGGCCUCCCAGAGUGUUGGGAUUACAAGCAUGAGCCAGCACGCCUGGCCUGAAAAUACAUUUUGAUGAACAAAAAAUUUUUAAUUUUUUUUUUUUUUUUUUUCCUGAGACAGAGCUUUGCUCUGUCACCCAGGCUGGAGUGCAAUGGCGUGAUCUUGCCUCACUGCAACCUAUGCCUCCUGGGUUCAAGCAAUUCUCCUGCCUCAGCCUCCCGAGUAGCUAGGAUUACAGGCAUGGGCCACCAUGCCCGGCUAAUUUUUUGUAUUUUUAGUAGAGACGGGAUUUCACCAUGUUUGCCAGGCUGGUCUCAAACUCCUGACCUUGUGAUCCGCCCCCGUGGCCUCCCAAAGUGCUGAGAUUGCGGGCGUGAGCCACCACUCCCAGCCAAAAAUUUUUUAAUUUUAAAAGUCAAUGUAUAUCAUUUGUAUUUUAUAGUUAGUGCUUUUUUUGUAUUGUUUAAAUUUUUAAAAUUCUUCCAUUAAUCUAAAAUAUUUUCAUGUGUGCUUUCUACUAAGAGAAUUUAAGUUUUGUUUUUGACAUUAUAGUUUUUAAUACAUUUGGAUUUGGAUCUUAUAUCUUGUAUGAUACAGAACUCUAAUUUUCGCCUUUAACUACAUGCAUAAUCAUUUUUUCCACCUCCACUUAUUGAAUAGUUCCUAAUUUUCCCAUCAAUAUCAUGUGUUUCUUCUGGCAUAGCCAAAGUCCCAUAAAUGUGUGGGUCUGUUGUAGUUUCCUAUUUAAUUCAGUUAAUUUGUCCAAUUUGUUUUAUUAUGCCUUAAUUACCACAGCUUCACAGUAAGUCUUUAUGUCUGAUAGGGCAGCUUCCUCUAGUGUCUUCAGAAAUUUCCUGACUUUAAAAAAAAUCCUUAUUGUUCAUGCUUUUUUAAAGAAUUAGCUUUACAUGAUGCAAGAAAAAGAUCUGUUGGAAUUUUGAUUGUAAUUUUGUUAAAUCUAUAGGUCAACUAAUUACAAUAUUGAAUCUUCUUAUGCACAAACAUGGUAUAUUUCUCCAUUUAUUCAGGUCUUUAUUUAAUGUCUCCUAAUGUCUUUUUGUAGUUUUUACUUAGAGAUCUUACAUAUUUGUUAUUAUAUUUACUCCUAGGUACUUGGUAUUCUCUAAGAUUAUUGAAAAUGCUG